rnacentral:snRNA from 1 species
GGUUGCAAGGUCAAUCUCAUGAUGACACUGGUCUUCCCCAUUGAUUCUGGGGUUUAUCAGACUGAUCUGGCUGGAUGGGCAAGUGUCUCUUUUCUCCCUCUCUGCUUUACAUGCACACUUAAUAGAAGAGGACAACCUUCCCUGAGAGAAGUGUCCUGUUCUUUUUUUCAAGGGUAAAGGCAACAUCUUGAAUCAAAAAAGAUUUAUCAUGUGAAUUGAU